rnacentral:rRNA from 1 species
UACGUGAGGGGCGAACGUUGUUCGGUGUCACUGGGCUUAAAGGGCGCGUAGGUGGCUGCGUAAGUCAGGUGUGAAAGCCCUCGGCUUACCCGGGGAAUUGCGCCUUAUACUGCGUGGCUUGAGGAUCUCAGGGGAAUGGGGAACUCCAGGUGUAGCGGUGAAAUGCGCAGAUAUCUGGGGGAAGGCCGGCGGCGAAGGCGCCAUUCUGGGAGAUUCCUGACACUGAGGCGCGAAAGCGUGGGGAGCAAACAGG